GUCUCCCUCUCUGAUUUUUCCCACUCAUUUUCUCUCCUUAACUAUUUUUCAUAUUUUGAAAGUAUCUUAAAACUUAUACGUUUAUUUUUAGUUACCUAAGAAUGAAAACCCCUUGAUUCUUUUCUUUGCUUUUAUAACUUUGUAUCUCAACCCUCUUUUCAUGUUGAGAGGCAAAUAAAAGAAACUCUUCACUAGCACCUAUGAGUUCGAUUGGCUGCACACGUCUUCAGCUUGAGGUCAGAGGUAAUAAGAGUGUGGGCCAAAAUGCUUAAAUGAGCAGGGCCUUAUCUGUGAAGGAGCCACAGAACCCAGGGGUCACACAUGAGAUAUUAUUAUUAUUUAUUUUUGUUUUUAGCUCAAAUUUAUGUGACCCAGAGUUUGUUAGGUCUUGGAAGUUUGGUGGGUUAGUCUACCAGAAAAAGUCAUUGUAACAGCAUGCCUUGAGGAAGUUAAUACUGAAAAGCAGACAUUUUAAAAAUGUGGACACCUAAUGAAGACAUCUGGGAAACAGAAACCCUCCUAAUAUUUUUAUUCACUGAUUCAGUCAUUCAAGAUCCUGUGUUGAACACCUGGAAGUGCUGGGAUGAAGUGAUGGCAGGACAUCUGCCCACAGGGCGUGAGCAUGUGCCAUCGGACUGAGGAGGAGACACAGAGAGAAUGGGUGAAAAUCAAAAGGUGUUCUUCAGCUCCAGGUUUUGAAGGGGAGCUGGUGGAGUUCCUGAAAGUGACAUAAAAACUUGGUGAAGGAUCCAGACAACGAUCCACAGUUGUAAGGCUGAUGGAGCUCGAAGGGAAUUCAGGGGACCCUCAGUUGCUACUUCCUGGCUUUAAAUGGAGACGUGCCCACAGCAUGAUAAGCUUUCAGGGAAGGUCACUGUUGAUUUUACUCUUGAUGCCUUCUAUGCAAUGGCUGGCUUGAAAAACCGUAGCUGUGUUUAUCCGAAUUCAAUUUUAACACGCAGUACUUUGAAGAUGAGGUUAUUUCGAUAUUCGUGAAAUCGUGGGAUGAUUCAAAGAAAGAAGCCUAUAAACGGUGGUUGCUUGAGUGAGUGAACACUGACAUACAUGGUGAGGGUCAGAGGAAAAGCAAGGAGAAAACUGUGAGAUUUGAUUAACAAAUGUGGAAUUGCGGAAAAGAAAACAUACUUUCAGAAAAGACAAAAACAAACCCCACCAUCAAGGUAUGUCUGUUCCAGUUCUUAUAGAAACUGAGCAGCAUCUAUGGAGACAGCACUGAGGUAGGAUUUGGGUAAACGAACACAUUUUCAAAGGAUGCUCAUGUAUGUGUUUAAUGUAAUUGUACUAGAUGUUUUAUAAACAGGAUAUUUAUAAUUUCAGUACCCACCAUUCAUAAAAUAGGUACUAUUUCAAUCAGUCCUCCUGAGAACCUCAUGAUUUGUGUUGUCAUCCUGACUCAUAGCUGAGAUUGUGAAGACUGAGGCUGGGUAAGACAUCACGACCCGGGCCUUGUGGUCGUGAGCAGAGAGCUGGGGUCUAAGCCCAUCAGCUCAUUCCUAGCUGUGGUAUGGGGUCUUCUGAUAGUGCUUUGCCUGAACAUGCUAAGUGGGUCCCGAGAUAAAUAUGUGGGAAUUUGCUGGGGAAAGAGCAAGCAGAUAUCUUCUAUUUAUAGAAACUUAUAUUUCUAUUCUAUAGAAACUUAUAAUCUUAUUUAAAAACAAAACAUUUUUCAUGCAUUUCACAAAAUAAAUUAGAAGUUGUGAUUCCUAUCUUAAACA
rnacentral:lncRNA from 12 species